rnacentral:misc_RNA from 1 species
UCGAGUUAGGGUCUAUGGCCCGACCUCCAACCCCGUGUUUAAAUACCGUGUUGCUUCGGCGGGCCCGUCUUUGGACCGCCGGGGGUCUUCGUUGACCCCUGGCCCGUGCCCGUCGAGAGCCCCUAUCAAACCUUUGACCCAAACGUGUCGUCUGAGUUCAAAUUAUAAUAGUUA